UAUUUUAUGUAUUAAAUUUAUCUGGAAUAUACUUUUAUAGUUAUUCACACAAAUUUAUUACAGUAUCAGAAGCAUAAGAAAUGUUCGGAAUACGGCGUACGUUGAGUAUAUAAAAAAAUUUUCUCUUGUUUAUAAGUGCGUCUGCGCAUGCGCGAAAAAUGGAUAAAUAGCGUGAAAUAUUGCUUCCUGUGCUCAUUCUGCUGUGACCUCUAGAGGCGGCCACAUGGUAUCAGAAGUAAACUAGAGAUUCAGAAUACUGUGCAAGUUGAGUUUAUAAAAGAAUUUUCUCUGGUUUAUAAGUGUCGUCCCCUCAUGCGCAAAAAAUGGAUAAAUAGCGUCAAAUAUUGCCUCCUGUUCUCCUUCUGCUGUGACCUCUAGAGGCGGCCACAUCGUAUCAGAAGCAUAAUAAAUGUUCAGAAUACUGUGCAAGUUGAGUUUAUAAAAAAAUUUUCUCUGGUUUCUAAGUGUCGUCUGCGCAUGCAAGAAGAAAAUGUAUGAAGAGUAUGUAAUAUUGGUUCCUGCGCUCAUUCUGAAUUGACCUCUGGAAGCGGUCAAAUCUGUAAACCCAAUUAUUUUAAAUAUUAAAUU